rnacentral:tRNA from 4 species
CGCGGGGUGGAGCAGCCUGGUAGCUCGUCGGGCUCAUAACCCGAAGGUCGGAGGUUCAAAUCCUCCCCCCGCAACCA